GAACAACCGGUGAAACCUCCCACACCCACCAUUGAGUGUGGACCUGAAGUAACUCAAGCCUCCCGGCCUCCAGGAACUGGCCCCUACCUGCUCCACAUGUUGAGGCCAGCUCAAUGACCAGAAACUCACCUUUCAUUCUAGCCCACUGGGAUCAGCCAAGGUCUUCUGAAUAAAAACGACUCUGGAAUGCCGAUAAAACACAGAUGGUGGGAGUGCCUGCCCUGCCUUGCCAGUGUGCACUGCUGCUGACUAAGCCUCAGGUCCAGGGCCAAGUCCCCUCUUCACCCCCGCAAGUGGCCUUCUCACCACGUGGUGGUCAAGACAGCAAAGUGUGAGCUCCUCAGGGGUCCUGAGGGGAGGCUAAGGGCAAGCCUGGUGCCUCCCCCAGUUUUGAGUUUGGCUUUCUGUUUUCCCUGGGAAGGGAUGAACUCUCUGGCCAGAAACCUCACCCUCUCCUCCACUAGCUCCUUCUUCUUGGGCUCAAGAUUCUCUCAUCCCCAAAACUUGCCUCCUGGACCACCACCCCUAGCAGCUGUGGCCCACUCAUUCCUUCCCAAAUUCUCGAAAGUCAUCUAGCUCUGUAGCCUGCUCACACAUGGCUUCCACCUACACCCAUGUUUCUUUCCCACUCCAGCAAGCAGCUCUCUGACCGGUAUGGGAGCGCUGCUUUCCACUCAGUUCCCCGCCACUCCGGCCCUUCCAAAGCCUGCCCCUGCCUGCCUCCCUGGAGCCCUCUGUCCAGGCCCUCAUCUGACCCUUUGCUGCUUAGCGGUUUCCAUCAGGAGUCUUCUGCCCUCAUCCUCUGCUGGCCUUCCCCAGAGCUGUUUUCAGUCACAGCCCGGAAGUGUACCGAGGCCCUCCCACACCCCUGCUCCACAGCCUUCCAGCACCCACCAUCAGAAAUGGAACGCAUUUUGAACAACUGGUCCCCAAGGCUCUUCACAAUCAGGUACAGUUUUUUUCCUGCUUCAUCUCCUCACCAAUUCUACAAAUUCAAUUUUGUGGAUGCGUUUCAAUCUUCAGAAUGUACUACAUCAAGUCUACAAGCAUGCUGUUCUCUUUAUCUAGGACAGAGUUUCCUCUACCUAGAAAAUUUCCAUCUGCACUUAAAAACCGAGCUCUAG
rnacentral:lncRNA from 1 species